rnacentral:rRNA from 1 species
AUACGUAGGGGGCGAGCGUUGUCCGGAUUUACUGGGUGUAAAGGGCGCGUAGGCGGUUAUCUAAGUCAGCUGUGAAAGUCCAGGGCUUAACCCUGGAAUUGCAAUUGAAACUAGAUAACUUGAGUUAAGGAGAGGAGAGCGGAAUUCCUAGUGUAGCGGUGAAAUGCGUAGAUAUUAGGAAGAACACCAGUGGCGAAGGCGGCUCUCUGGACUUAAACUGACGCUGAGGCGCGAAAGCGUGGGUAGCGAACAGGAUUAGAUACCCUGGUAGUCCACGCCGUAAACGAUGAGUGCUAGGUGUUGGGAGUCAAAUCUCAGUGCCGGAGUUAACACAAUAAGCACUCCACCUGGGGAGUACGACCGCAAGGUUGAA